rnacentral:rRNA from 1 species
GAUGAACGCUGGCGGCGUGCCUAAUACAUGCCAGUCGAGCGAACAGACGAGGAGCUUGCUCCUCUGACGUUAGCGGCGGACGGGUGAGUAACACGUGGAUAACCUACCUAUAAGACUGGGAUAACUUCGGGAAACCGGAGCUAAUACCGGAUAAUAUAUUGAACCGCAUGGUUCAAUAGUGAAAGACGGUUUUGCUGUCACUUAUAGAUGGAUCCGCGCCGCAUUAGCUAGUUGGUAAGGUAACGGCUUACCAAGGCGACGAUGCGUAGCCGACCUGAGAGGGUGAUCGGCCACACUGGAACUGAGACACGGUCCAGACUCCUACGGGAGGCAGCAGUAGGGAAUCUUCCGCAAUGGGCGAAAGCCUGACGGAGCAACGCCGCGUGAGUGAUGAAGGUCUUCGGAUCGUAAAACUCUAUUAUUAGGGAAGAACAAAUGUGUAAGUAACUAUGCACGUCUUGACGGUACCUAAUCAGAAAGCCACGGCUAACUACGUG